rnacentral:rRNA from 1 species
CUACGGAGGGUGCGAGCGUUGUUCGGAAUUACUGGGCGUAAAGGGCGCGCAGGCGGCUUGAUAAGUCAGAUGUGAAAGCCCACGGCUCAACCGUGGAAGUGCAUCUGAAACUGUCUGGCUUGAGUACUGGAGAGGAAAGUGGAAUUCCUGGUGUAGAGGUGAAAUUCGUAGAUAUCAGGAGGAACACCGGUGGCGAAGGCGACUUUCUGGACAGAUACUGACGCUGAGGCGCGAAAGCGUGGGGAGCAAACAGGAUUAGAAACCCCAGUAGUCC